rnacentral:rRNA from 1 species
AGAAUCAACGCUGGCGGCGUGCCUAACACAUGCAAGUCGAACGAGAAAGUGGAGCAAUCCAUGAGUAAAGUGGCGACCGGGUGAGUAACACGUGACUAACCUACCUUCGAGUGGGGGAUAACAUCGGGAAACCGAUGCUAAUACCGCAUAACAUCGCAAGAUCAAAGCAGUAAUGCGCUUGAAGAGGGGGUCGCGGCUGAUUAGCUAGUUGGCGGGGUAACGCCCACCAAGGCGAAGAUCGGUAGCCGGCCUGAGAGGGCGCACGGCCACACUGGAACUGAAACACGGUCCAGACUCCUACGGGAGGCAGCAGUGGGGAAUUUUGCGCAAUGGGGGAAACCCUGACGCAGCAACGCCGCGUGGAGGAUGAAGCCCCUUGGGGCGUAAACUCCUUUCGACCAAGACGAUAAUGACGGUACUGGUGGAAGAAGCACCGGCUAACUCUGCGCCAGCAGCCGC